GUGCCGCAGCCGCGGUAAUACCGGCAGCCCAAGUGAUGGCCGAUCUUAUUGGGCCUAAAGCGUCCGUAGCUGGCCGCGCAAGUCCAUCGGAAAAUCCACCCGCCCAACGGGUGGGCGUCCGGUGGAAACUGCGUGGCUUGGGACCGGAAGGCGCGACGGGUACGUCCGGGGUAGGAGUGAAAUCCCGUAAUCCUGGACGGACCGCCGAUGGCGAAAGCACGUCGCGAAGACGGAUCCGACAGUGAGGGACGAAAGCUAGGGUCUCGAACCGGAUUAGAAACCCUUGUAGUCC
rnacentral:rRNA from 1 species